AAACCAAAAAAUUUAGUCAUUCAUUUACGGUAAAAAGACAGUUAGGUAAAGCAAGAGGUCAUUAAGAUCUUUAGUAUAGGAGUAAAAUCUAAAUACUAAAAGUUAUACCAGAUAUGGCUUGCCUGGAAUACUGAAUCUGUGACAACUUUAAGGGAAACUGGGAUUGGAUACCCCAUUAUUUUUAGCUGUAAAUCUAGUUUAAGCUUACCGGAGUACUACGAAUAAAAAAUUUAAAACUCAAAGGGCUUGGCGGUGUUUUAGACUUCUCAGGGGAACCUGUCUCGUAAUCGACAAUCCACGUUAGACCUAACCUUUUAUGGUAAUACAGUCUGUAUACCGUCGUCGUCAGGUAACUUCUAAAAAUAUGGUGGUUAGCUCGACAGUCUUAUUAGCUAAAACGUCAGAUCAAGGUGCAGCUAAUAAAAAGGUGAGGAUGGGUUACAAUUAUAUAUUUAUAAAUAUGGAUAGCACUAUGAAAUGGAGUGUCUUAAAGGAGGACUUGAAAGUAAUUUUAAUUAUAUAAAUGAGAUGAAUUUGGCUCUGAAACGUG
rnacentral:rRNA from 1 species